AUGUCAUCCACCCCGCGUCCGGCGAAUCAAAUCGCGGCCUUUCAUGAUGUGGUGCAGGACUGUGAGCUCCAUGAUCUUGGGUUCUCAGGAGCUCCGUUCACUUACGAUAAUAAGAGGAAAGGCAGGUCUAAUGUCAAAGUUAGGCUGGAUCGAGCUCUAGCUGAUGAUCGAUGGAGAGAUAUCUUCUCGGAUGCACAUGUGGUACACCUUGUGUCUCCAUGCUCGGAUCACCUCCCGCUUUUAAUUCAUCUACAGAAAGAAGAACACCCACAGAACCGUUGUCGAGUCAGCCGAUAUGAAGUUUUUUGGGAAUGGGUAGGGGAGUUGCCAGAAAUCAUCCAAAAGGCUUGGGAAGAUACACAGGCGACUGGUGACCUUGCUUCGGUGACGGCUGGCCUGAGUAAAGUAAUGGAUGACCUGCAAGGAUGGAGCCGACGUAAAUUUGGCAAUAUCAUGCGAGAGGUGGAACAAACACGUCGUAAGCUGGAGCAACUAGUGCACUCCAAUGGGGAUCAGAAGGAAAUUAGGAGGCUGUCGGAUAGCUUGGAUGAACUACUAUAUAAAGAGGAGCUUCUA
rnacentral:rRNA from 1 species